AGGGGUGCUAUCUGUGAUUGAGGGACA
rnacentral:ncRNA from 3 species